rnacentral:misc_RNA from 1 species
UCUACAGGCUUAUGUUGUUAUUGUUAAAGGUUGUUUUUGUUUUUUAAUCUUGUUUAUGAAUAAUAUAGACGUCUGAACCACGGACUGACCAUGUAAUGCAUGCAAUGCAAGUUUUAUCAAAAGUAAGCCUAACCACAGUCUAUUUAAAUUGUGAAGGUCAAAGGUCAUCUAUCUUUGACCUGUCGUGAUUGAGUGAUGUUUACUGGUGUGUUAAUUUCUCUCUUUCUUUAGAAAUCCACAUGUAAAUCCAGACUGGUCACAAACUUGUGUCUAAUCAUUAGAUCUUCUGUAGUCAGUGGUACAAUAAACUUUUGUGUC